AGAUCAGGGUAACAAAGUAUUCAGAGAAACAGAUGGACUACAGUCUGUAACUGUAGAACUACGAAGUGAAACUGUGGUCAGUGGAGCUGAUAAAAUGGACAAUGAGCGUAAAAACAACGAGGUGGUUUUAAUGUUAUGGCUGAUCACUCUGUGUUGUAUAAUAGUCAGUUAUAUAAAGUAUAUACAAGCUUUUAUUGCAUUUCUAGCAUAUCUGUUCUCUUCUGAUUAGGGUGUGACAUCACCGCUGACCCUGCAGCGACAGCAAAGCAUUGUCCCCUGUAUCACUGACAGAGACCCCCUGCCAGACACCCCCACUGAGAAAGAACCCCCCUCCCCCAACUUCAGCGACAAACCACUCAACUCCCCACGAACCCAAUCCAGAGAGAACUCGUUCAGAAGCAGAGGCAGUGUACGCCAGCGCCAAAGCCGCAGCCCGUCGGUGGUCCCGGCCCACCGCUCCAAUGAUUGCCUGCGCCAUGGCAACAGCAGUGAUGCCCGUGCUGUCAGGGCGGUCUGCUUAUUGAUGGGUGGAGCCGCCGCUUCAUCGGCGUUGGGCUACCUCAACUCCUGCUCGCCCUCCUCCGGCAUGGCUGCCCGGGCCCCGGAGAUCACCCACUCCACGGCUUUCUCAGAGCUCGGAGGGGGCACCUCAUACCACGCCUGCAGCCAGGCAGUCGACUCACCUCAUUUUAACAGCUUCGACUUUGAGGGCGACUCCGACUUUGAUGCUUUUGACUGCGGAGGAUUUGCGUUCUGAAAGUACAUAAUAUAUACUGCAAAUUUUAUGUCAGUGCAGAACACAGAGGUGCUGCACCUGCAGCCAACAGGUGUAAAUGGCCUGCAGUCAUUGCACUGGUUAUGUGCAGUUUAUGCUGUUUGAUUUAACCAGUUUUCCAGGGACAGUUCCUGUUUGAAGAAUGUCCCAGCUUGAAGGAACUCCAACGUUUUUUAAUUGAAUCUCUAUAUCGUGGUUGUUGGAAGAAAACCUUGUAACAUGGUAACUUUACAGGAGAAGGAAAAAAACCUACUUUACUUUUUUAGUCUUUUAGCCCGUUCAUCAUGAGAUUUACAAACAAUGUAAAGGACAACAGGCUUUUUCAUAUGAUGUCAAAAACUGAAAAACCAUCAAAAAUGGAGAUACGAGGUUUUCCUCCGACAGCAGCGAUAUGCUGCACCAUCAGCACACAGUCGAUUUGCAUGGACAACGAUUUCAACAUGUUUCCUUCGCUUAGAAAAGAACAGAAAAUUUGACUUGAAACACUUAUAACAGAAACCACUGGGCAGCUGCUAAAUUUGUAUAAACAUGUUUAUGAUUUUUCCAUAUUUAUUCAGAUAUUUAUAACUUUGUACAUCUUGAUUUUGAAUUUCAGAGCACAUUUUUUUAACAUAUUGGCUAAAAAGAUUUGUAAUAUAAAAUGCACCAGAACUUUUUCCCGUAUGUUAAAAGUAAUACAUAAGCAGUAGUUGUGCAUUAAAAUGUGCAUGAGUGUGUUCUCUGUAGAGAAUGUUUACUUAUGUACAACAUGCUAUUUGACCAGGGGCGCCUAAAGUUUUGCCAAUUACUUUAAUUUGUUCUUUCAGAGAUGAGACAAGUUUUCUAGAUGUAAGACUAUUUACUGUAAAUUGCAACCAGUGUUUUCACAAGCUCAGUCUGAUCACCAUACAUAUAAGCAAAACAUUUGAACUAAAAAAAGUUUGAAAAUGUUCAAAAGUUGCAUUAAACUUUAUAACUUCAUAAACUUUUCUUUGGUACGACAUUAUGCCAGUGUUUUUCAUCCCAUCUAUGCUAUUAAAGUUAAAAAGUUAGUGAUGAAUUUAGCAGCUGCCCAAUAGGGUCUAUUAUAAGUGAAUUUUGAGUCGUUGGGUUUUCAGCUCAAGGAACAGAAUCAAAAUCAGUGACUGUGUUUAUAUGCAAAGAUUUUUGCCAACCUGAUUAAAUUCAUUCCAAUUAUAGAUUAGGCCUGAUGUGUUUAUACUCACUCUAUUUAACAGUCUGAUGGAGAAUCUCUCUUUACAUGCUCACUACAAGUAAUCCGAUCCAAAAUGACGGGCAUGCAUAGAGAACCACUUAAUGUAGGCGUUACCAUGACAACCAGCAUCAUGUGCGGUCCAGUCAGAGUGAGAUGAGCAGCAGUGAGCAGUGCUUGUGUUUUUAAAUGCUUUAAAAUGACGUCAGACUCAGAAAAACGUCCCUCACACGUCCUUAUUAAAGAAGGCCGAGAGGAAGACGUCGUGUUCUGAGACACAUAAGCUGGACGUCCGUCCCACCGCCGUCUUUUAAAGAUCAGAGCAUGAACUUCGUCUCCUCUGCAGACCAGUUUCUGCUCCGCCGUGUUGAACGUUUUAAACCUUUCGCUAUGACGGGACGCACAUGCAGAACGGACUUAAACUUUCCGAUAGGGAAUGUAAUCAGAUACAGGCAUUUACACGGAUAUUAUUCUUCUAUGUAACAGAUUACUUACAGGAUUACCCACCUCGUUCAAUCAGAUAGAAACCGUAUUCCGAAUGGCCUCAAUAGGACUAGACUAUUCCGAUUGAGGUGUUUACAUGGACGAAUUCUGUUGAGCUAUUAGUCGGACUAUUAAUGGAUUGUUAGGCUACACGUAAACGUGGCUAUUGUGAUAUCUGACUGUGUGAAACAGAUGCAGCAGAUACAGAUCAGGUUGAAAAUAAGCGGGAUACCUUUAAUGCACCCACAUUGCUUUUUGAGUGAAUGAAGGAGCUGCCUGGCUAGAAAGCGAGGCUGCAUACAAAACAACACAUGAUAAAUACUACAUAUACUAUUCUAAUGAAUUUAGAACAAAUGAUGGUGUUUUUUUUUCACUCUUUAGCACUAGGGAGCCCUCAGGGCCUUCAGAGAAGCGGUUAUGAUUUCUGGGAACUGAAAAAAAAUACAAUUUUUAAUUUAAUAUAAUCCUCAUGCUUAUUAGAUGUAAUCUUUCUGAGUCUUGUAGUAAUACACUAAUUUCAUUGUUAAGUUUUAGUUGGAAACUAAAUCUUGAAAUACCCAACAAAAAAGAUCCAAUCAGGAUUGUUCUCUCUGUGGUAUCUAGAUGGAUACAGCAGAGUGAGCUCUCCCAUUGUUUAGGGCUUCAGGAGCUGGACUGAAGGCCUUACACGUUGCCAACAUAAUUCGAAAUUUGGUAAGAAAAAGGUCCUUCUUGAAGUUCCAGAAGGAUCAGUCACUGUGAAUGUGAGUCGUAGUCUAAGCAGUGUUUUGGUUAGUUGUUAGGAACAUAAAACAGCGGCAGCUCUAUGCAGAACUAUUCACUGAGUCACUGUGAAACUGAUGCAUACAAGCUCAGAUACAUGUUAAUGUCUGUUACAAGCUUCAAAUAAAACAUACAACCCAUACAUACUUUUACUUUCAGUCUAGGCCAAAAAAUGUUCAUGCCCACCACUAUUAGCCUACUGCUAAUAUACUAUUGGAAACCUAAUAGGGGCACUAGCAGAAAUUAGCAUUUUGUGAAGGUGUUUAUUCCUCAUUUCUUGACCAGGUUUUGACCUUUACUGCCCAAACUGAAGGCCCAACUGUAACAGGCAAGGAUCAACACUGCCAUUUAAUAUGGGAGUAUGCCAUUUUUGAUACAGCCAAAGUGAGCAGGUGCUGUUUUAAUUUGUUCACUGUUUCUGACCAUGAGCAGCUCGCCUGCCUCGUGAUGCUAAAGACUGGAUAAAGUAUGCAAUCUGGUCAGUAUCAUGCAGUGAAUUAAACUCUUAAAGAAUGAUGAAUGAUUUAAUGAAUGUUGUUUGUAUGCAGUAACUUAUCACAUCUAAACCCGUUUUUUUUUCACAUUUUGUCCAUAAUUUAGUAGUUGAAAUGUAAUCAGAGAGAUUCAGAGCGGUUUGGUGUGAAAUGGUUCAGAUGUCUUUACAGUGGUGGUGAUAGGAACUGGGGGUCGCCAUGACUACAACACAGAUAUAGACAUUUUAUUUACUAUCCAGAACCAGCAGAGAACCUACACGAGUCUUCUGAGUUUAUAUGGAAUGUUAAUGAUGGUAAAAUGGUGGAAAAUCUGAAAUAAAUAAGAUUUGUUUAGGGACUAUUAUAGUUAUUAAAACCCAAAAACUAUCAUAAAACAUUGUCUCAGACAUCAGGCAGUGAAUUUAUAACCAUUUCAUAUAAUAACUUUCUGUUACGGAGCUUGUAGAGGAGGACGCCUGGUUCCUAUCACCACCACUGUGAACAAUUCGGACCCUCUCCUUUCUCUUAACCAAUUAAAUUAUGCAGAAUCUUUGAAAAAUCUGUGGACUUUCCCUUUAAGACAUAGAAAUGAGAAGUUUUCUUAUUGAAAAUAUUUCAUUGCCUGUACUAUAUUAUUGUUAUCGUUCCUGGUUCUGAAGAUGUCCGAUAGCUGUCAUUAAUUUCUGGUAGAAGGUUAUUUAAUUUAGAUUUUUAUUUUAGUUCAUUUGAUUUAUUCGUUCAUUUAUUCAUGUCUCUUAGUCCAAUCCUGUGGACAUGUUUCCAGGACUAUUCAGAUCAAUGGCCUACAUUCACAGCGCAGUAUUUUUGUUGUGACUGUAGACAGCAUUAUGGCCGUUGGAUCUCUCUUCUGACUGCAGAGAUGAUAAUCUGCUGACCCUGUCCUCUGUGCUGUUAUAUUGUGAUGACUGUGCAGUUGUCAGAAAGUUGUUGACCGAUCAGAUGAUGUUGAAACCUUUUCUCUUGCUGUCUUCUGUGUUUUUUUCUGCAGUGAAAAAAGACUUUUCUACUGAACUCCUAAAGCACUGAAUGAAAUGUAUGUUCUGGAAUCCUCUGUGCUUCUUUUAUACUCGUUAUCUUGUCCCAGUCUACCCCCUCAUUUCUCCCGCUCAUAAACUCUGCCCUCCUGUUAUGUAUGGAUGUGUGUGUGUGUGUGUGUGUGAGCACAGAGGUGAGUGAGCAGUGCAGUG
ensembl:lncRNA